UACAGAGGGUGCUAGCGUUGUUCGGAAUCACUGGGCGUAAAGCGCGUGUAGGCGGUUUGACAAGUCAGAUGUGAAAUCCCGGGGCUUAACCUCGGAACUGCAUUUGAAACUGUCAGGCUAGAGUACGGUAGGGGAUAGUGGAAUUCCUAGUGUAGAGGUGAAAUUCGUAGAUAUUAGGAGGAACACCGAUGGCGAAGGCAGCUAUCUGGGCCGUUACUGACGCUGAGACGCGAAAGCGUGGGGAGCAAACAGG
rnacentral:rRNA from 1 species